rnacentral:rRNA from 1 species
CCUACGGGCGGCAGCAGUGAGGAAUAUUGGUCAAUGGUCGGGAGACUGAACCAGCCAAGCCGCGUGAGGGAUGAAGGUACAGAGUAUCGUAAACCUCUUUUGUCAGGGAACAAAGGCGGGGACGCGUCCCCGGAUGAGUGUACCUGAAGAAAAAGCAUCGGCUAACUCCGUGCCAGCAGCCGCGGUAAUACGGAGGAUGCGAGCGUUAUCCGGAUUUAUUGGGUUUAAAGGGUGCGCAGGCGGUCUGUUAAGUCAGCGGUCAAAGCCCGGGGCUCAACCCCGGCCCGCCGUUGAACCUGGCAGUCUCGAGUGGGAGAGAAGUAGGCGGAAUGCGCGGUGGAGCGGUGAAAUGCGUAGAGAGGGGGCAGAACUCCGAUGGCGAAGGCAGCAUGCCGGCUCCACACUGAGGCGGAGGGACGAAAGCGUGGGUAUCGAACAGGAGUAGAUACCCGAGUAGGG